rnacentral:rRNA from 1 species
CAGUCGCCGCGGUAAUACGAAGGGUGCAAGCGUUACUCGGAAUUACUGGGCGUAAAGCGUGCGUAGGUGGUUCGUUAAGUCUGAUGUGAAAGCCCUGAGCUCAACCUGGGAAUUGCAUUGGAUACUGGCGAGCUAGAGUGCGAUAGAGGGUAGUGGAAUUCCCGGUGUAGCAGUGAAAUGCGUAGAGAUCGGGAGGAACAUCUGUGGCGAAGGCGACUGCCUGGACCAGCACUGACACUGAGGCACGAAAGCGUGGGGAGCAAACAGGAUUAGAUACCCCCGUAGUCCCUGUCUCUUAUAC